rnacentral:rRNA from 1 species
ACCUUUCAAGUGUCUGCCUUAUCAACUUUCGAUGGUAGUUUAUGUGCCUACCAUGGUUGUAACGGGUAACGGAGAAUAAGGGUUCGACUCCGGAGAGGGAGCCUGAGAAACGGCUACCACUUCCAAGGAAGGCAGCAGGCGCGCAAAUUACCCACUCUCGGCACGAGGAGGUAGUGACGAAAAAUAACGAGACGGAUCUCUUUGAGGCCCGUUAUCGGAAUGAGAACAAUUUAAAUCCUUUAACGAGGAUCUAGCGGAGGGCAAGUCUGGUGCCAGCAGCCGCGGUAAUUCCAGCUCCGCAGGUGUAUAUCUAUGCUGCUGCGGUUAAAAAGCUCGUAGUUGGAUCUGCGUGCUCGGAACCGGUUGGCUCACUGAGUUCAAACUGGUCUCCGGCGCUUUAUUGGCUGGUUUUCCCUUGAUGCUCUUAACCGGGUGUCUUGGGUGGCUAGCACGUUUACUUUGAAAAAAUUAGAGUGCUCAAUACAGGCGCAAAGCCUUGAAUAGUGGUGCAUGGAAUAAUAGAAUAGGACCUCGGCUCUAUUUUGUUGGUUUUCGGAACGCGAGGUAAUGAUUAAGAGGGACAGACGGGGGCAUUCGUAUUGCGACGUUAGAGGUGAAAUUCUUGGAUCGUCGCAAGACGGACGACUGCGAAAGCAUUUGCCAAGAAUGUUUUCAUUAAUCAAGAACGAAAGUUAAAGGUUCGAAGGCGAUCAGAUACCGCCCUAGUUCUAACCGUAAACGAUGCCAACUAGCGAUCCGCAGGCGUUAAACAACGACCUUGCGGGCAGCUUCCCGGAAACGAAAGUGUUCGGGUUUCGGGGGAAGUAUGGUUGCAAAGCUGAAACUUAAAGGAAUUGACGGAAGGGCACCACCAGGAGUGGAGCCUGCGGCUUAAUUUGACCCAACACGGGAAAACUCACCCGGCCCGGACACCUUAAGGAUUGACAGAUUGAGAGCUCUUUCUUGAUUCGGUGGGUGGUGGUGCAUGGCCGUUCUUAGUUGGUGGAGCGAUUUGUCUGGUUUAUUCCGAUAACGAACGAGACUCUGGCCUACUAAAUAGUGGGCGGAUUCUUUCUGUCCGCAACACUUCUUAGAGGGACAAGCGGUGUUCAGCCGCACGAGAUUGAGCAAUAACAGGUCUGUGAUGCCCUUAGAUGUCCGGGGCUGCACGCGCGCUACACUGAAGGAAUCAGCGUGCUUUCUGACCUUGCCCGAAAGGGCUGGGUAACCCGAUGAAAAUCCUUCGUGAUUGGGAUAGGGACUUGCAAUUAUUUCCCUUGAACGAGGAAUUCCCAGUAAGUGUGGGUCAUAAGCUCGCGUUGAUUACGUCCCUGCCCUUUGUACACACCGCCCGUCGCUGCCCGGGACUGAGCCG